rnacentral:rRNA from 1 species
GACAGAGGGGGCAAGCGUUGCUCGGAAUUACUGGGCGUAAAGGGCGCGUAGGCGGGAUGGCAAGUCGGUCGUGAAAUCCUUCGGCCCAACCGAAGAACGUCGAUCGAUACUGCUGUUCUAGAGGAUUGCAGAGGAGACUGGAAUUCCCGGUGUAGCGGUGAAAUGUGUAGAGAUCGGGAGGAACACCGGUGGCGAAGGCGGGUCUCUGGGCCAUUACUGACGCUGAGGAGCGAAAGCGUGGGGAGCGAACAGG